ensembl:lncRNA
UAAACAUCAUGAAUCUGGGAAAAUUUUGUGGGUACCAUCGCAAAAAGUAAAACCAGAUGUAAGCAACAUAUCUGCAAAAACUGAGUCUAGGUGCGAGUUUUUCUACAGAAAUUCUUCAUUGGCAAACCGAGGGACGGACGACGGGAUCAAGAACCACUCAUCAAGAGGAGCACUACACCUGCAAUGCUGACACUUCUGAUGUUGCUGAUGUUUAUGGUGUCCCUGGCAAUCACAGCAUGUCAGAAACAACUGCAAUGGAUGCAAGAACGUACGUAGAAGAUUAAAGAAGAGAGUGAUCCCUUUGGGAGCUGGCUGGAUGGACUGUUUGGGGGAGUGGGUUCAUGGUUAAAGCAAUUGCUUAAGGUUUUCGCGAUAGGGCUUGCAAUCUUUGUAUGUAUUCUGAUCUGUCUUCCAUGCUUUGUAGGAUGCUUGCAGAACUCCUUGCAACAAAUGAUGGAAAUGACUUUUGACCAUUGGAUUGAAUAUCAAAGACUGGGUGAAAGGUUGUAGAAGGGUGUAGGUUGUUGCGUUUAUGCUGUUAACGGGGCCAGGCUUGGCCGAGCACGGGAAAGGACUCCCUGUUGCUCUGAUGUUUGCUUAAAGGAUUGCAGUAGAAGGGUAGUAGAAAUAGUAUGCUGAAAUGUAUUUAGGAUUAAGUACUUCGCGAUGUAUGGGUUAGGCGCGUGUGAAGAACAAUUAGCUUAGGGAGGGGGAGAUGUUGUAGUAGGCGCUUGACAGGGAUACAUGCUGUACAGCAUAGGCCUCUCCCUAAGCAGAGUGAAAGGGUGCUGUUGUGCUCAGACAGACUGUCCUUGCUAACAAAGUAAACAAGAUAAGAAGGCAAAGGAAUGAGGAGACCAUAGGAGCCAAAUAAGGAAUUGUGGUAAGGGGCUAAGAUCCAGUACGGACGAAUCAGGACAGGGCACAAUAGCUCAAGUAAGGUAUAUAAGCUGUGUGUAUUAGUGAAUAAACGCCAUUUUGCAGCAUCCCCAUAUUAGUGUCUGUGUUGCUAUGGUCCUAGCGAGCUCUUAUCGCUAGACCCUGAUGGUGCGGCUUGGGACUAUGGUGGUUGCCAGUGGCAACAGUCUGGAGGGACAACGGAUGGUGAAGGCCAGGGGCAACAAGAGAGAGACAGAGAGACGCUGCAGCCCAAUGACCAGGAAACAGUCUUUUGUGCGGACUUAUCUCAAGGGAGAUAGUCAUCUCAGGGUGCUCACACAACUCUUACCCAAGCGCCCAGGGAUGUCAGGUAGGCAGGGAAGAAGGAGGAUAAAAGAGGGACGAACAACCAUGAGGUUAGGGUUCUGACUAACCCUAGUUCUAGUCAGAACUAGGGUUCUGACUUCUGACUACAUAUCCCUCAUGAAGAAAAGAGUUUCUGACUACAGAUUUCUCAUGACCUGAGACCUGCAUGCUGAAGAACAAGAAGGUUUCUGACAUGAGAAGCCUCACGACCUGCCUCUCCCUCCUGGACUUGCUCUGUGCCCUUCCUGCUUUCUGUCUAAGGCCAGCCACUCUGCUGCUGCUCUCCCCCCGAGAAGGUAUCUGCCAUCAGAGCCCUCACUACGAAAGGCCUGCAUGCUGACAGACUCUCCAGGACCUGCUACUGGAGACUUGCUGCUUCCUCCCAGUCUUCUUCCUGGACCUACUCGGUACCUGCACCUUCUUGCUGCCUAAGACCAGCCACGCUGCUGCUGCUGUUCCUCUGCUGCGCUUUUGCCCCAGACCGUUGGAACAUCAUGCAACAGGACUACUGCCGGAUCCUGGUGGUGGCUAUCCCCGUUUCACGCAAUUCUUGCUUCUUUAUAUCUUUUCUAUCACCUGCCUUCCCUAUCACCCUAAAUCAUCCAUUCUCCCCUUCCCUAUCUCCCUUAUUACAAAUCUUAAUAAACAGGUCAGACCAACA